GGGGCGUAGCGCAGCCCGGUAGCGCAUCCCGAUGGAAUCGGGAGGGUCUCAGGUUCAAAUCCUGGUACAUCCUCCCCA
rnacentral:tRNA from 1 species